GAUGAACGCUAGCUACAGGCUUAACACAUGCAAGUCGAGGGGUAACAAGAGGAAAGCUUGCUUUUCUUGUUGACGACCGGCGCACGGGUGAGUAACGCGUAUCCAACCUGCCUAUAACUAGGGAAUAACCUUGCGAAGGUAAGACUAAUACCCUAUGCUUUCCUCUGAUGACACCAGAUUAGGAAUAAAGACUUAUCGGUUAUAGAUGGGGAUGCGUCUGACUAGCUUGUUGGCGGGGUAACGGCCCACCAAGGCAACGAUCAGUAGGGGUUCUGAGAGGAAGGUCCCCCACAUUGGAACUGAGACACGGUCCAAACUCCUACGGGAGGCAGCAGUGAGGAAUAUUGGUCAAUGGGCGGAAGCCUGAACCAGCCAAGUAGCGUGCAGGAUGACGGCCCUAUGGGUUGUAAACUGCUUUUAUACAGGAAUAAAGUUAGCCACGUGUGGUUAUUUGUAGGUACUGUAUGAAUAAGGACCGGCUAAUUCCGUGCCAGCAGCCGCAGUAAAAC
rnacentral:rRNA from 1 species